rnacentral:tRNA from 1 species
GCCUGGGUAGCUCAGUUUGGUUAGAGCACCGGUCUGUGGAACCGGGGGUCGCGGGUUCAAAUCCCGCCCCAGGCC